GGACCCUUAGCUCAAUCGGUAGAGCUUUGUACUUAUGUGGAUAAAGUUAUGCAAGGGUCCCGAGUUCGAUUCUCGGAGGGUCCA